CGGCGUGCCUAACACAUGCAAGUCGAACGCGAAAGGGCGCUUUUGCGCCCGAGUAGAGUGGCGCACGGGUGAGUAACACGUAGACAACCUGCCUUCGGGUUCGGGAUAACCUUUCGAAAGAAGGGCUAAUACCGGAUAAGACUCUCGCUUCGCAUGGGGCGGGGUUAAAAGGGGUUUCCUGCCAGGAGAGGGGUCUGCGGGACAUUAGCUUGUUGGUGGGGUAACGGCCUACCAAGGCGAUGAUGUCUAGCGGGUCUGAGAGGAUGAUCCGCCACACUGGAACUGAGAUACGGUCCAGACUCCUACGGGAGGCAGCAGUGGGGAAUUUUGCGCAAUGGGCGAAAGCCUGACGCAGCAACGCCGCGUGGGUGAAGAAGGCCUUUGGGUCGUAAAGCCCUUUUCUGGGGAAAGAGCUAAAGACGGUACCCCAGGAACAAGCACCGGCUAACUCCGUGCCAGCAGCCGCGGUAAUACGGAGGGUGCAAGCGUUGUUCGGAAUUACUGGGCGUAAAGGGCGUGUAGGCGGAUGGGCAAGCUGGGGGUGAGAGGCCAGGGCUCAACCCGGGACCAUCUCCCAGUA
rnacentral:rRNA from 1 species